GUCUUUAUUGGCGACGGGAAACCUACUGCCCGCUCUUCGGUUUUCCAUUUUAGCUGGCCUAUUAUCAGAGAUUUCUGGAGUGUGAGUUUCAUAAGUAGAGGUUAUCAUACAUUGCAGGCCAUCUCUCCUGCUGGGGAGCAAAAUGAAGGUUUGAUAAUGAGAUCGCCCAAAGGCAGAUAAGAGCUCUAGCUUGCUGAACAGUCCCUCAAGGUUUCCUGUGAUGGCAAGAAGGAGGGAAUGCAAUUUAUUAUCCUUCCCUCCUUGUACCUUCCCAUUGUCUGAGAAGUCAAAGCAACGAACUAUGCACGUUCAAAAUAAAUAUAUUAAUAAUUAGAGUGGGCGAGCCGGUUUGCCGUUAUUUUGCUCUGAAGAAGAAGGUCUGUGAUUUGCUCUUACACCAUGAACAAAGUCUCUGAACUCCAAAUCCUGAAAUCCCAUUUAAAGGACUGGCUCUCCCCCCCUCUCCCCACCAGGAUGGAUAUUCUAAAAUUGAGUCAAGUGCUUUAUCUCGAUAGACGUGCGAGGAUGGCUCUGUAACCGCUGCCGAUAACCUCCCCGUCUCCAAUACGGUUUGCUUUCCUUUCGUGCUAAACACUACAAAGUGCAUUGCAGUAAAGCGAAAGGUCAGGCUUCAGCCAUAAAACAUGGAAGAUUCCGAGCUGAAGUUGCCACAUCAUUAAGCCACAGCGUCUUCAUGCUUAUGUCUCCUUGCACAUAUGGUAUAUAAAAUCACCUAGUGUUUCACAACCCUCUUAAAUAAUUAGGCACAACAGGGUUUGCCGGGUGACCACCUGGAUGAAGUCAAAACAGUGGCAUCUGCAUCAGCCAGAUGGGAGUCUGCUGCCAUCAGGAAAUGGACAGCCGACUGCCACUCGAGUGAACCAAAACCGCCGACUUCCAGAUAAGAAAGGGAAAGGACAGGUCAGGAGAGAGCGAUAAAUGUGUCUUCUUUCAAUUUUCAGGUUACCGAGUCCCUGCUGAAGCCGAAGGGGAUGGAUGCUGUUCGCCCCAGCCUGAGAAGCAGCGGGGAGGAGGCUACCACUCGCGCUAGCUGCAGUAACAGCUGCACGAGCCUGAUGGGACCCAAGAAGGCCAUUAGAGCGCGGCGCUGUGGUUUCCAGCACGGUGGACUGAAUGCAAAACCCUCCUUGCAAAUUUGUGGUCUUGCUAAUUUUUUUUUUGUCGGUGGUGGUUUGAUCAGCGUUGUGCUGUUGCAUAUGUUUUCCCAAAAGGGUCCGUACUGGGCUGUUACCUACACGGAGGGGGAAAUAUGACUUUUUGUCUUGUAAUUCCUAGCUUGAAAUUAACACUGCAGCCAUUUUAAACAGACUCCGAUUAGAGCUGGUAAAACCUUUGGCUCAGCCUGAUCGGUCUCGAAGGCUGUCAAGCUGAAAGGAAUUACAAUGCAGAGAAAAUUAUUUAGAAAAGAAAUUGCUACUUUGCAAUUUAACUUUGCUACAGGGAUAAAGUUUUAAGAAAAGAUUAGCAGCUUGGGUGUCUUUUGUC
rnacentral:lncRNA from 1 species